CGGCGCCGGCGGGACAGUGGGGUGUGGGGGGAGAAGGUUCCUGAUCCCGAGGCCGAGUUGCUGGACAGGGAAGCACUCGCUCGAAGAGCAGUCGUUUUCACCUGAUCUUGACUCUCUGGGUGAAGAACAACAUUCAGUGGGUGGAAGAAUAUACAUGCACUGAAGAUUAACGAGCUUUUUAUUUAGAUUGACAACUACAAUCUACCAAUCUGCUGUACAAAGCGUCCAAUACCCUUGUGUCAUGCUAGCGUAGCUCCAGGCACUCAUCUUGCCCGAGCCUUUGCAGAGGCUGCCGAGAUCAGCCCUUCCUUCGCUGGCAGCAGCAGGGUCUAAGUGAGUCUGGAGGAUAUCAGCUCGCUAAUGGCACGUAAUGGUGAUGAAAGAUGUGAAGGUACCAAGUGAAGGUUACAGAAAGUGACAAGAUCAGGCAGAAUAAUGCUGCUUUGGAAAACUGGACUUUAGUCAUGCCAGUGAUAUAGUCAUUACAUUACAUUAAUGAAGUUUUUUUCAACCUAACGUGGUGUAUAGAUGCGCUGAGCCUUUGUUGCAAAUACAGUAAUGGUCAUGCUUUGUCUGUCCUGUAAGUCUCUGCACACUGACAAGUUAAGUUCUCUGAAAUCUCUCACACUUUAAUCACCCAAAAUAAGAUUUUUGUAAUCUCAGUACCUCAAGGCUAUAUCUCUAAAAGGGAGGUGAUGACAUGCUCCUUAGCUCUGAGUGGUUCAUGAAAAUAAAUUUAAUAAUGUCUGCAAAAAUAUGAGGCUGGGGUGGUAAGUAUCCUGAGAAAAAUGAUCUUCUCUUCAAAAACGAUUUGCUUAUUGUGCAAAAAAAUAAGUAAAAAAGAUUGAACAGUGGAAAAAAACUACUGAACAGAAAGCACUUUUCAAUUGUAGCACUGAAUUCAGAAGAAAGCUAUGAAAACGCAGCACUUGGUAGUCUUUAAUGGCACAAAUACAGUAAAAAUUGAAUCUAACCUUAAUUUUUCAAUUUUACGAUUCCUGAGUGCUCAUUUUCGUUACCGAGAUAAUAUUCUGUGAAAUAUACUUUUCCAUGGGGUAAUUCAUAUGCAUGUACACUGCAUAUCCCCAUGCACUAGGUAGCUGCUACUUGUCAGCAGUUUGAACCUUUGCCAAACACAUCUCUCUGGUGUUAUCCUCACCAGAGCAUUUCCAAAUAAUACUAUGGUAGGUUGCCAUUCUAAACCAAAUACUUUAAUAUCCCUGUCAUGAACAAUCCUCCUGAAGGGCAAAAAUGCCAACCGACAUAACAGCCAUCCUUCUGGAGAAUCUCUGAUGCCCUGUCUCAUUCUAUUUUUGUGCAAACCAUUUCUCUUCAGUAGCAAAUAGGAACUCAACCUCUAUUUUAAUUAUUCAUAUUGUCCAUCUUUCCUGCUGACUCUGCACCUCUCCAGAGCAAGUAUGUCUUUGGAUGAGUGAGGGGAUGAAAAGUAAAGAUUUCUGGAUGGGAAAUAAUGGGGUUUGAUGGCUUACGAUAAAUUUUCAAUUACAUGGUGAGACUAGCCAAAGCACUGCUGGAAAGAACUGUUCAUCUGGUAACAUUUUCACCUUCUGCUAUAGCAUAAAAGGCUAGGGCUUUUUCACUCGACUCCCUCUAAAGGGAGAGUCCUAAUGAGCAUUGCGGUUCUGUCCUUCUCAGCAGGAGGUGUGGAUUACAGAUGGAGAGCUAAUGAAAGCUAUCAGAUAAAAUGAGGAAUUUAUGCACACUGCUUUUGAUGUCAAAGAAAGGCACCUUAAGCAAUGAAUACUUAUUCAUUCCAUUUGUGUACUUAAGAAUUCAUAAAAUACUUGGAUAAAAACUGACACCUUUUCAUGGCUCGGUAUUUGGAUGUCAUUUAGCAUCACCCUCCCCCAGUGGAAUUAUUCUGUGUAUUUCUCUGGUCAGAGAUAAUGAGGAAUCUCAUUCUACUGUGCCCCCCUCUACACAUAUAUAUAUAACAGAAGAGACUGUCUGUAAUUUACAAUGUUCGUUAUCUCCAGUGGAUGCAGGAUUGGUAAUCCUAUGUGCUCCAAACCACAUUAUGGGCAUAGCUGGAAGACUACCAAGGAGUCCCUUUAUAGUCUCAAAUAAACACAGCUAAAUUGAGAAGGCUACAUCUAAAAAGGGACGGAAAACCAUCUCUGUGCACAUCUCUAGCAGUCUGCAGGGACUGAACAAUAAUUUAGCUAUAUGCCAUCAAGUGAAAAGUAUUGUGUAUGUAUCCUUAUCAUUAUACUCUGGGCAGUUUCCAAAACAUAUUAGAGGCUGCUGAAGAAGAUCAUCACAGCACUUUGGAUUCUGCCAACCUGCAUUUGAACUCACAGAUUAGUAGUAAGAAGCUCCAAGUCCCAUUUGGUGUUCUACUAAAUCUGGUUCUGCAGCAAAGCACAAGGGAAAUUUAAAUUCCUAUGCUAAUAAAAAAUUGCUGGGUUUGAAUUAGUUAUGAAAUGAGCAAUUUGGUACUGUUUUUUUAAUAGUAAAUAGGAAUGGGAAAAUAUUCUUUUAAAUCCUUAUCCUGUAAGGAAAGACAUCAAAAAAUAAACAAACCAGUGACAGAAACUUAUGGGCAAAUGCUGAAAUCACAAAAUUGGAAGGGAGGGAAAGGGAGUGUUUGAGUGGCCUACCAUGAGUUCAUCCCCCGCAUUUUGUUUUAACAUUUUUGCUGGUGAAGUUUCUUUCUUUCCACCCAGAAAACAAUCACGUGGCCAGUGUCUUCAGAUGGCAUUACACGUGCAGUCAUUUACAGAAUAGCUUCCAGUAGGCCUCAAAAGCCAUCACUGAAUUGUGCUUUAGAAACCCAUAGCACAGCCAAAUUGCAAAAUUCUGGUUUUUAAAUCCUUAAUCAGGCACUUUUGCUGACUUCAAAGUCUGUUAAUUUCUCCUUUCGCUCAGUGCAUCUGCGUGUACUUUUCCUUUUCCUGAGAUGCUGUUUUCUGCACAUUUUUUAUAAAUACUGCUAAUCACAUGCAUUGACUAAGAAAAAAUAGCCAGGCUUGUAAGUUCUUUUUUUUUCUCCUGGAAAAAUGCCACUGGGAAGAUCUAACUAAAGUGGCUGCAAUGAUGGCCGCAGCUGGUGCUCUUAUCAAAACUGGAUCCCCCCUCAUUGCUCUUGGCUCUGGGCUGCAAAGAGUAGAAAAGCUGGGAGACACUGAAAAGAGUGAUGGUCCUGGCAUCCUCAGAU